ensembl:lncRNA
GGCUUCUUGGGACAGGAUGUACCACUGGAUGUGUACUGGGUUCAUUACAAAGAGAGCUUGAAGCGUCCACCAGGGUUACAAUCAACAGUUAUUAAAUCCAUUUCCGACUGAGACUACAGCUCGCUCAGGUUCUUCACAGGCCUCCUUCCUGAACUGACCUGAUUCUCCUGCCAUGAAGGUUUUGCUGGAGGUUGAAAAGGGAUUCAGUCCUUCCUGAGUGCUGAGGAAGACCAAAGAGCACGAGCUGUCAAAUGGGAUAUCGUGCCAGCAGAAUUCUCAUUGAACACUUGAUGUCAUAUGUCAUCUGACACUGGCUUUUCAUUCAGGUCAUUUCAGGAUAAGACUUCUGAGAGCAACAGCAAAUAUAUUCAAUACUGAGAAUAUUUCAUUUGUAUUGAACACAAUGAGAAGGUGGAUAAAUGUGAAUCAAGGGUUGACACGAUGUGGUGUGAUUGAGAAGAGAUAUCAUAACACAGAGAUCAAGGAAGACGUUACAGCAAGCACCAGGAAGUGGCAGAGAGCAGAAGAGAGAAGAAAGAACAGGAUCCAGGGAGCUUAUCUCCGUGCCAACCUCCAGGAAGCAACAGCGUCGCUGCCCCUUUGGCUCACUGAUGCCCUGAUUUGCAAACAUGCUUCACCUUAAACCAGUUCUUAGAGGAGAAGGUAAGGUUUUUAAACUUCUUUCAACAGUGAAUUUGAAUUAGACAUAAAACACAAAACUCUGAGAACUACUUCAGCCCCUGAAUUAAUUCACUGAAGUGUAAAAUGGGGUGGCAGUGAUCCAAAUAGAAAAG